UACGUAGGGUGCGAGCGUUGUCCGGAAUUAUUGGGCGUAAAGAGCUUGUAGGCGGUCUGUCGCGUCUGCUGUGAAAAUCCGGGGCUCAACCCCGGACUUGCAGUGGGUACGGGCAGACUAGAGUGUGGUAGGGGAGACUGGAAUUCCUGGUGUAGCGGUGAAAUGCGCAGAUAUCAGGAGGAACACCGAUGGCGAAGGCGGCGUCCUGGACCAAAUACUGA
rnacentral:rRNA from 1 species